rnacentral:rRNA from 1 species
AAUAAAGUUUUCUUUAUUGGGGUUGCGGACAUAUCAUAACGAAGAGGUAUCGUAAUUGAAGAGGUUUGGAAAGACCCACCAUAGAAGGUAAUAGUCCUGUAUGUUAAACGAGAAGACUUUAGAUAUGGUCCAGAGUACCACGGGACACGUGAAACCCUGUGGGAAGCAGGAGGGACCACCCUCCAAGGCUAAAUACUACCUAGUGACCGAUAGCGUAUAGUACCGUGAGGGAAAGGUGAAAA